rnacentral:piRNA from 1 species
UGAGCUGAACUUAACACAUAGUUGGAUC